GCUAGCACGAAAAGCCUGGGAGCGUGAUUGGUCCGGCGGUACAGGCGCGGCUCAGACUAGUCUUGCUGUCGAGGAGGUGGAGGUCAUGAGGAUUGCAGAGGACAGAAGCCCGCGGGCGCCCUCGGUGGCCACUGGCGCCUCCUCCUCUUUCCGGGAGUGAUGGAGGAAGCUGCCUCCAGGAGGACCAGAUGUGGGUGGGCUCUGGGAGGCCCCUAGCCUCCUGUGGAGGCCAGAUAGGCAGGGGAUUCAGACUGGAAGGAGAGGCCUGAGGAACUACGUUUUUGGCCGUUCUUUCCCUCACUAGUUGUUAGAUGGGCUGACUUACCUUCCUAUACCUGCGUCCUCGCCUGUAAAAUGGGUCAUCUUUCUAUUUAUUCCAGGAUUAUUGGGAAGAUAAAUGAGACCCUAUUCUGAAGGCGCGCAGCACGUAGAGAGAACUGGGGCCGCACCCCCGCUAUCUGUAUGGUCUUGUCUCUCUGGGCUGUUGUCCCUCAGACUGCCUCUGCAAGGAAGCACAGACUGGUGCCAUGGAAAGCCCGCAAGGAGAGGUCCCAUGGAAAGGCCUGGCGUAGGUAUUGUAGCCAAUAGCCCAGUCGUCUCAGCAAACACGACGACCCUGAUCUUCUGUGGCCAGAGGGGCAUCUUCCUCCCUUACAGGACCUGGAACUGACACACCUUCCCUCAGCUCCCAAAUACUGCCCCCCAGCACCCGCUGAGUGACAGCACCGCCCCCCAGCACCCGCUGAGUGACAGCACCGCCCCCCAGCACCCGCUGAGUGACAGCACCGCCCCCCAGCACCCGCUGAGUGACAGCACCGACCCCCAGCACCCGCUGAGUGACAGCACUGACCCCCAGUACCCGCUGAGUGGUCAGGGUGUUAUCAAUGCUUUCACCCAAAUCUGAGCACUGACACCUCUCUACAUCUGGGAGGUGACAGAAGCCCCUCCGAGCUCUGUGUGCAUGGGACGCUGCCUGGCCCACUGGCUCCCCCGGGUGCUGCUGUUCCUUCUUCUUGGACCGCUGCGCCUGGUGAGAGGUGAGCUUCCUUGUGCCUCCUCCUUGGCACUUCCAGACCUGUCUCUUUCCUAGCACAAAAGCCCCAGAUUUGAACCUCGUAUCAUCAGAUCUUAACUUGUUGAAGUUGUCUGCACGCCUGGGGGCUUCCCUCAAAUCCUUCCUGUUUUACUCCUGAUUCCCUGUCACUUUCCCCAACCACUCCUGUCAUAGUUCCUGGUGAUCUCAGAAUCCACGGGGGAUUCUCCAACCUUCUGUACAUCCUCCCCUUCAGCAGUCCUGUCGCCUUCCCAGCUGGCCACUCGCUCCCCUGGCCAGGGUCCUUCUCACAACUGCAGCCUCUCCACAGUCUAACCUCAAGGCCCACAUUCUCUGACGAGUUCCCAACCUUGCAGCUCAUGCCCUCCACUCCCCUUUAGCCCCGCCGAGAUCUGCGGUCCUCGGAUAAGACCCAGGUUAGUACCUUCUCAUCCCCUGAUGGCCUUUCCCUCCUCUGUAUCAAGAGAGACUCUCCAGAUCGGCCACUGUGCCUGCUCCCUAACCCUACCCCCCUCCUCUUGCUUCAUCAUAUUCACUUGGCCAAACCAUGACCCAUGUUAAAUCCCAGCUAUCUCCGUGUCUUUGUUCCU